AUUGAACGCUGGCGGCGUGCUUAACACAUGCAAGUCGAUCGGUAACGCGGGGGCAACCCUGGCGACGAGAGGCGGACGGGUGAGGAACGCUUGGGAAUCUGCCUAUCAGCGGGGGACAACACGGGGAAACUCGUGCUAAUACCGCAUACGCUCUACGGAGGAAAGCCGGGGACCGCAAGGCCUGGCACUGAUAGAUGAGCCCAAGGCGGAUUAGCUAGUUGGCGGGGUAACGGCCCACCAAGGCGACGAUCCGUAGCUGGUCUGAGAGGACGAUCAGCCACACCGGAACUGGGACACGGUCCGGACGCCUGCGGGAGGCAGCAGUGGGGAAUAUUGGACAAUGGGCGAAAGCCUGAUUCAGCGACGCCGCGUGGGUGAAGAAGGCCUGCGGGUUGUAAAGCCCUUUCGGUAGGGACGAAAGCUCUCGACCUAACACGUCGGGAGGUUGACUUAACCUACAGAAGAAGCACCGGCUAACUCCGUGCCAGCCGCCGCCGUAACAC
rnacentral:rRNA from 1 species